GAAUGUUUCAGGGAGCUUUUGGAGUGGGUGGCAUGGUAAGAUAUCAUAUUUUGUUUUUCAUAAAAAAUGGAAUUGAAAUCUUACCGAUUCCCCCCAUUCCAAUGGCUUCCAGUCAUUUCUCC